GGGAAGGUGGCUCAGUGGUAGAGCGCUUGCCUUGCAUGCAUGAGGCCGUGGGGUAUGAUUCCUCAGCACUACCA
rnacentral:tRNA from 1 species